ensembl:lncRNA
GGUAGGGCGGGGUGAGGUAGGGUGGGGUGAGGUAGGGUGGGGUACGGUAGAGUGAGGUGAGGUAGGGUGGGGUGAGGUAGGGUGGGGCGAGGUAGUGUAGGGUGGGGUAGGAUGAGGUGAGGUAGGGUGGGGUGAGGUAGGGUGGGGAUGAGGUAGGGUGUGGUAGGGUGGGGUGAGGUAGGGUGAGGUGAGGUAGGGUAGGGUGGGGUGAGGUAGGGUGUGGUGAGGUAGGGUGGGUUGAGAUAGGGUGGGUGAAGCGGAGAAGGAGGGAGUAUGAUUGUUAAGGGUGUUCUCAGGCUCCACUGAUGUAAACACUGUUAGGUUGAUG